rnacentral:lncRNA from 1 species
UUUUUUUUUUUUUUUUUUUCAAGUUUCUUAAAAUGGCAUGCGAAAAGUGUCUCAUGAUUGAGCAGACAAUUUGUGGUUCUCAAAGAUAGCACCAAUUUUUAAUGUACUUAGACCUUGUUGGACAAAGUUCAGCUACUCAAUUGUUUUGCCGCAUCUCAAAAGUGCAAUAAUGAAACGCAACACUCCAGAGAGCGUUCUUGGCUACAUUCAGUCGAACAAAGCCAUUUGAUUUCUCAAGCCGUGCAAGUUUCCUUCCUUUCUUAAAUAAAAGCUCAUUUUGAAAAGUUCUUGAGAUGCUAGACUUCUUGAAUGAUAGCCUUAAGUAGAAAACAGUAGAAAGAGUCAAAAAUCUUGAAGCAUGAAGAAUGGGGUAUACCAGGCUACUAAUAAAAAAUAUCGGCAUAGUCUAUAACCACAGAUUCAUGAAAAUGACAGUUGAUUUUCUCAAUUACUUAAAUUAUGGGAAAAUUACUUUGCUUGGAUAGCCCUUUUUUUUUUCUUGGGUAUCAUAAACACGUUUUCGAGUUAUCUUCUCAAUUUUUCAAUAACUUUUUAUUUUAUAUACAUCUUAUCACAAAAAUAUUAUAAUAUUAUGAAUUAAUCUUAUAUAUACUAUGAUAUCAUCAUUAGAUAUAUAAUAUAUGUGCAAAUUUUGAAUUUGAAAUUUAAAAUUUGCUCAUGUUUCAUUCAUCCAAUCGUGAUAAUGUAUACACUGACAGUAUAUAUAAAAUUUACUCAUAAUAUUUAAGCAAAUAAAUAAUCUUCAUUCCAAACAGAUACGACUCUGAACUUGGAACUCCUUAAAUUUCUCAAGCCAUGCAAGUUUCCUUCCUUUUUUCUAAUUAAAAACUCAUUUCAAAAAGUUUUUGUAAUGCUAGAGUUCUCGAAUGAUAUAGCCUAAAGUAGAAAGAGUGAAAAAUCUUAAUGCUUGAAGAAUAGGGUAUUAGGCUACUAGUCUAAAAUGUCUAUAUAGUUUUAGCAUUAGAUUCAUGAAAAUGAUAUAUAGUUGAUUUUGUCAAUUACUUAAGUUACGGAAAAAUUACUUUGUUUGGAUAUAGUUUUUUUUUAAUUCCUUUUGUUGUAUCAUAAACACGUUUUGAAACCAUCUCUUUAUUUUACAUAUAUCACAUCACCAAAAGUAUUAGAGUAUUAUUCCAAAAAAAAGAUUAAAUAAUCUCCAUUCCAAACAGAUAUGAAUCUGAGCUUGGAACUUCUUAAAUUUGCACGUAUAGUUUAUGUAAAACAUUGCGUUCCAGGUUGAGCAGCGAAAAGUAGUAUUAAUGUCUCUUUAUGUUUUGAUAAGAUUGAAAUGUCGAUGCAUGCAUCGGACAUUUGAAAAUCAGAUUGACCAAUUACUUGAAUGUUCUUGAUGCCAUUUUCAUACUUUAGGAAAUGGUCAUACGUAUUUAAACUUGUUCAGUGUUGGCCUUCUUUUGAUAGUUCAACCGCUCGCAAGUAUUUGUGAUGGACGUGGAUGGUUAGUUGAUUUGCUGGUAAUCUGAUUAAUUAGCCUCAUGGAGUCGUUGUCCAUCCUUAUCACUUCAAUCUAUUAUUGCUUUGGGUUUCUACUUUCUUUCUUGUUGUCUGCAGACAGAACGUUAAUUUCAUAAUCAUGUUCAGAGGUCAUGUGAAUAUUUUCUCUAGAAUCACGUACGAAAUCAACAAGAACAUGAGAUUAUCUUGCAAGAAAUGAACUUUUAUUCACAAGAAACUUUCCCAACUUUAUCAACAACACUAAAUACUUCUUGAAGAUUGAGGUGGUAGAAACGACUUGAAGGGUAGUUUUUCGUGUUGGGAAGUAAAUUAGAAAAAGGGUUAAAAAUAAAAAAGUCUCAUGUGAUAUACCUAAUAUACAGGAAAACCCUUUGUGGUUUCAAAACAGACAAAACGACAUCUCAUGUUUUAAACUAAUAGAAUUUGUUAAAUUUAACGAAAAUGACGGUCUCGACUGUUCAACUUACCGGAUUCCAUUAAGUUUACCGGAUUCCGUUAAAUUUAACGAAUUCUGUUAAUUUAUAAUUUAGUUCAAAACAUAAGAUGUCGUUUUGUAUGUUUUGAAAUCACGGGAGAUUUUUCUGUAUAUUAGGUAUAUCACACGAAACUUUUUUUAUUUUUAACCAUUAGAAAAACGUGUGAUGAUCUACACAUUCUACAUACACUUUAACAUCUGGUCAGAAAUAAGAUAAGUAACUUUUCUAAAGCAAAAGAGAUAAUAUGAUAAAAAGAUCAGACAAUUUUUUUGUAAUCCCGAAAGUUUGCAAUGAAACACAUGCAAAAUCAGUCUUAUCAAAUGUGUCCACAAUCUGCCAUUCUUCAGAAGUUUAUGCUAUUUAAAUUGCUCUCUAGAAUUCCUCUGGCCAAAAUUUUAUCUAACUCUUCCGUGGGAGAGAGUCCAGAUAAUUUUAUCUAGCCUUUCCUCAUGGAAGGGAGUGCUCUUUCUAUUUUUGUUUUUAGUUUGUCUUGUAAAAAUAAAUUCUCUCUUAGGGUUUCUUAGUGAUAGAUUCUUCUUUUCUAAAAUCUCUCAAUAAGAGUUUCUUCUCUUCUAAAUUGUUCUAGUGAGAGUUUAAUUCUCUCUUAGGUUUUUCCUUGUAAGAGUUUUGUUUCAGUUUUUAUCCUUUUUUUUGUCAAUUUUGAGAUUUCUCUAAUUUUCUCCGUUUAUUAUUGUCAAAUCUAAACUUUUCUUUUCUUUGAAUUUAAACCAAUGUUUAAUUAGAUCUAACUGUUAGAAAAUAUAUACAUAUCUAUAGAACUACAAUGAUUCAUCUAGAUGGAGGAUAUGUUGGAACUUAUCAUUAUUUGUAUUGAAUUUUCAGAUCUGUUGUAUCUAUUGAUUUUAGAUUUGUACCUGUGUCAUAUUUGAUUUGACAUAUUUUUACCAUUAGUGCAAAUUUAUUGAAUGAAAUGAUCUUUCUAUUAAAAUUCUCCAACUAAUUAACGCAGGUAGAAAUCUUGGUUGUAUUUGGAUGCACUUUAGAAUGAAGUUAUUGUAGUCUUUUUUUUUCCCUAGAAUUAUAAUCAUCUAGCUGUACUGCAUUCAUUGAAAAACUUGUAGAUUCUAUACUUAAUGAUUUAUAUUGCUUAAAUAUAUUAAAUGACACUUGUGCAUAUCCUAAAGUUACUUUUUUUUUUCUUGGCAGUCUUUUGAAGGCUAGGAACAAUACCAAAUAUCUGAUGUGAGACCAGCUUUUGGGUUUGAUCAAUAUUUCUUUACGCGCUAGAUUGACAAAUAUUUUUUAGAGUUCAACACUUAUAAAAGUGUUUAAAAUUCAGGAGAUGAAAAUACUUAAAAUAUAAUGAUAAGAAGAUAGGAUAACAAUAAUCUUGGAAAUUCUAAUAAUGAAGAGUGAUCUAUAAUUCUUAAAAUCAUAGCGUCUAUAACAUUUCUAUUUUUUUUUAUAAAUAAAUACAUGGGAGUUAUAUAUCACGAAGGAUACAAGCGAAAUAAGUGUAAAACGUAUGGAAAACAAUGGACUGCAGCGUGAAGUCACCGAGACGAGACCAGGGGCAGGGACGGUCAACAGAGAAAUCGUUGAGAUCGAUUUUGUGCAUUUUGCAUAAGAUAUAAUUUAGUUUACACACGAUUUAAUUUAUUUUGUAUAAUGUGUAAUUCAGAACAAAAUUUUGUGAAUUCCAUAGAUGAUAUAAAAAAUAAUGUAUAAGCCAUAAGGUAAAAUCUGAAUCUUAAAAUUUUUUUUGGAUCAAAUCUUAGCCAUUUGCCUUUCGGAACUUCCGGCCCCAUUUCCCACCAGGAUAUAUGAUGCAAUUCUGUCCUUGAGAAAAAUGACAAGUUCAUGCCCCAUCACUAGUAGUUUGGAUCGUGUAAUUCCUGAUGCCAUAAGAUGAGGCGUUGGUUGAACUGUGCUUGCCGGCCGACAUGUGUGAGUGGCGACAGAAUGAAACCGUGUUGUUUUUCCAAGUCAAGCCAUGAAUGCACAAAGUCUUCUCACAUCGAAUCUUUUCCUACACGAGUUACAAGAGAUUUUUUUCUCCCCUACCUCGCUCUAGAAACUAGUAGAUACUAAUUCUAGUCUCAAUAAUUUCCUUUGUCUCUUAGCUCAGUGGACGAAUUUCACUUCACGCUGAGAAGACUAGUGGCUCAAAAUAAGAAGAGUUUUACCCGUUUGGAUUGUUAUUUUUCUAAAGUUUUUAUAAAAAAUUAUAUAUUUUUUAACGAGUUGAUGUAAAUGAAAUAAAAAAUAAUUAAAAAAUAUAUUUAUCAAAAAUAUAAAACCAGUGGUGUAUUGCGACCAUGACCCAGCAAGUUAAAUUUAAAUACAGAACUUUGAAUAUAUCUUAUGUACACAGUGUAUAUACUAUCACCGUUUGAUUCAUGACAUGUGUGUACAAGUUGAAUUUCAAAUUUAAAUUUUGUAUAGUUAUCAUUCAUUCAAUGCUAACAGUGUAUGCACUAUCAAUGUAGUGUAAAAGAAAGAUUAAUCCUAAAACUUUUGCCUAAGAAAAGGGUUUAAUUAUUGUAAAGUGGGUUUUGACUUUUCUUAAAGGAAAUGGAUGUCGUUUUGAAUAUUUACUUUUAAGUAUGGCAAAUUUGUAAAAGUAGAUGUUACAGCGACUCGUGUCAGCCGGCAGCUGGUAGCUUUUUUUUCUUUUUGUUUCUUUUAUCAUUUUGCCUUUUGUUGCUUUCAGUUCAUCUGUGAAAUCCUUUACAGUGGAGAGGGGGUAUCAAGAGAACAAGAGUUGAAACUUUUAUAAUAACAAUUUUUUUUCCUAGGGUAUUAUUACUCAGGUUGGGAUUCUCAUCAUUAGAAUUAGAUUACUCUUCAUUGAACUUUCUCUUCAUUUAUUUAUAUCUAAAUUACUAUAAUUUUAUAAAUCAUCUAAUUAUAUCAAUUACUUUUUUUAAUAUCUAGAUCAACAUAUUAAAAGAUGAUAUUCUUUUUCAAAAAUUUUGACAUUCAAUUUCGUGUGAAACAUUUGAAUGAUGAAAAAUAGGUCCAAAUUAUAAUAAAAUUUCUAAUGAUUAACCAGACGGCAAAAUUUCACCAAUUUCAUACAAAGUUUUAUGUAUAACUAACACAAGCGAUGAAAUAUACUCCCUCCGUUCCACUUUGAUAGCCCUGUUUUCCUUUUUCAUUCGUCCCAAAUUGUAGUCCACUUUCCAAUUGAAAAAUAUAGUUGUAUUUUAAUUUUUCUAAAAUACCCUUAUUCAAUGUAAGUUGUUGUUACUACAAACCUACUCCAUUUAACGAGAGUUGAUUCUUUUUUACUAUCAAUUCAAUUUUUUAUAAAGUUGUACUUUAAUUAAUGUGAGGGUAUUUUAGGAAAAUAGUUAUCUAAAUUGAUUGUUCCAACAGAGUUAACUACUUUUUCUUAAACUGUGUUAAAAAGAAACCAGGACUAUCAAGGUGGACGGAGGGAGUAUUAUGAAAGCUACUGAUUUUGGAAGAUAAUUUUUAAAUUAAUUUAAUUGUCUUGUAAUGAUACAAUGGAGAGGGACCUAGUCCAUUGGACUCAACUCUAAUUAAACAUUUCAAUUCCCAACAUAAUCAUGUGCUUUUUGUAUUUGGCAAAUGACAUAAUAAUCCCAUUAUAAGACAAGAUCCGAAAUUAUGGCCCUAUCCUAAUUUGUAAUAUAUACCUUUUUUUACCACCAUCAAAAGAUCUAAAAUCUAUUUGCAAAAGCAAACAGGAGCAUAAAAAAAUUAUCAUCCAAAAUUAAGUGAAAUAGAGCCUAUUAAGUUUUCAUUUGAAUGCCAACAGGGAGCAAUUGUAGAUAUAUUGAUGAAUUACGAUAAAUUUAGCCACCAUUGACAACCAAAAAAGUGAAAAAUAAGUGCCAUACAAAAGAAAGGGACUGAUAAUUACAAUUCGCCGCAAGUACAAGAUUUCAGAUGGGCAAAGACGGGGCAGCGGUCCAGGAAUAGUGGACCACCGUCGAGAGUGUUAGUCACUUGCCAUAGAUCAGUCCACAAGGGUAGAAAGCGAUGAAGAUUUAAUUGAAGGCCCAGCUUGAAACGAGAAAGCUUGCGUGGUCCACUCUGCCUAGUCCAGUCCGUCCCACCCCACCCAAGAGAAAGGAAAGGUGCGUGUGGCUAAACCCUCCAGUCACGUGCAUGCUUUUGGGACACAGAGAAUCAUGAGAAAAGUUGAUCUUGAUGCGCCACCAACAGCUCAUGGGAAAAUCAUCUGUGCACCAUACCCCUUUCAAUUCCAAAAGUAGAAAAUGAAAUAAAUUUUGCACCCUACAAAAAUGAAACAGAGGCAACCAAACAUGGUAAAAAAAAAAUCUACCUACAAAAUAGUGCUCAGUCAACUUUUGAGUAUGUGUGUAUUCGCACCUUUUUGUCUUUUUAAGGAAAGUUCGUGCAUACUCGUUGAUACUCAAGACCACGGGCAGGCAACCGGGCAGAACGGCUGCAGGUGCAAUCGUUUCUGACGAUUUUGUGUAUUUUGUAUACCGCGUAAUUUUGUUUGCACAUGAUAUAACUUUGUUUGCAUAACGUGUAACUUUAGAACAAAUUUUUAUGAACCCCACACACGUUGUUAAAAACGAUGUAUAAUAAGUGAUUUGGAUCGUACAAUUUUUUUGGACCAAAUCCUGACCGUGAACUGUUCAAUGACGGUCUUUCUGAUGACCGUCCCUGCCUCGUCUCCACUUUGAGUUGCAACAAUUGACACUUUCCCUUUUUUUUUUUUUUUUUGAAAAAAGUUUUGAUGAGUUCGGCUCCGAUUACCACUAUCGGUUAGGUUAGGCCUCCGAGACCAUAGGUUGCUUACAAGAGGCACUUACAAAUCACUCACCAAUACAACUCUCACAUCGAUAAUGAGAUUCGAAUACACAAUUUUUUGUGAGAAAGUGGUCUGUCCUUACCGAAGAGUCAAUAACAAUUGAGACUUUCCUGCCAGUUCUAUUUUUUUUUUUUUUUUUGACAUGAGGAAAAGAACCCUCCAAUGAUAUCAGGAAAAUUGGAAUUUGCAAACAAUGGACAUGAGAAAGGCAUCUUCAUGGUUUGGAAACUUGAUGAUUUGACACAUAAUCAAGGAAAAAGAAUGCAGGGUUCUUCAGACUUCGCAAUUUGAGAAGUGUACGAGUAUGCAAUGUAUGAUUUUUUUUGCGUGAAAGGUUGUGUCUACGCGACAAAUUGUGAAAAUCUAUCACUUGUUUAACAUUUCAUUUGUCUACUUACAAUCAAUCAACAACCUUUCUCUUUCUUCUCUCUCCCUCUUGAUAAGCUGUGUGCUUGCCCCACUCCACUCUGUAAUGCUUAACUGAAAUCAUAGCCAGAAAAGAGGCUUUGAACUUCAAUGCAUGGGGUAUGCAACAUUACCUGCUAGGUAUGGCGUUUAUGAUUUAACAGGCAAAUUAACUUUUGAUUGCAAUAGUUUUUCUCCUUUCGGACUCCUCCAAUUCUCUCCACCUAUUUGCCUUUCACGAAAAUCCAACUGUAACUGACUGUGGUCUGACCUCUGUCGUCUAUCUAAGAAGAACGGAAUGUUAUAUGAGAUACUUAAAUCUCUGGGACUAAAGGAUUUUUCACUUGCUUCUUUUUGCAGGGGAUGUAAUUAGUAAGGAUGAUAGGAGCUGUUCUUUUUGACGUCUCGGAAGCAGUAAAUUGUUAAAGAGUUUGCAAAGAAAAGAAAUCUCUUUUCCGGUCUUGCAAUGCCAGUCCCUCUUGCUCCGUAUCCAACACCUCCUGUUCCAUUUACACCACCUGCAACUGGUAUGGUAUCAUAUCCAGGAGCAUUCAUAGUCUGCAAGAGACUUGAAUGGACAUAUGCUGCUUUGCUGCAUAGGAUAUUGAAACAUGUUUUCUUGAAUUGCUUAUGUUGUUUAAGUUAAAAAGCUAGAUGGAAUUUGUGACUUCCAUCAUUUUUCACUUUCAUAGCCACCUACCGAUAAUUCAACUGAAGGAGUUUACUGCAGAGAAGCAUCAGAUUUUGUCAAGUCAAGCACUUGCACUUGAAGAUAGAAUUUUUUUACACAAAUUCAGCCUGUUGAAUACAAACAAGAACAGUAAAUUAAGGCAAAAGAAAGCAUUCUUCAGAUUGACAAUAAUAAUCAGUAUUCAAAAGGUUUUUGCACUUAUAGCAAUUUUGGAACAAUAAAUUUUUCUGGUUUUUGUUCUGUAACUUCACAAAUUUGUAUGGUUCUACAAAAUGAUUUGACUUCAAAGCUUCCUGUCACCGUGAAAUUUUUUGUGCAUCUCUUAAGUAGAAUUCACCUGUCUUAUGAUAUGUUGCAUAUAGUCUCUGAUCCUCAAUAAGUUUGAUGGUUAUCAGGUGCACAGAGCCAGCUUGUUUGUUCUGGUUGUCGAAACCUUUUGGUGUAUCCGGUAGGAGCAACCUCUGUGGUGUGUGCAGUUUGCAAUGCAGUCACAGCUGUACCUCCUCCUGGUAUACUUGCAGUGACUCCCCAACUCAUACCUCUCAAUUUUCAUUCUAGUUAAAAAGCUAACAAAUUUAGGAGGGCUUUUCUCAGUAUCGAUUUUCCUUUAGCAGGCACUGAGAUGGCUCAGUUGGUUUGUGGGGGCUGCCAUACUUUGUUAAUGUAUAUUCGUGGAGCAACAAGCGUGCAGUGUUCUUGUUGUCACACCAUCAAUUUAGCAAUGGAAGGUAAAUUAAGUGAUAGUAUGGUUUUCUGAAGAUUGUAACAUCAUUAAUCUGAGAUAGCAGCAGUUAAGUAUCAUGUGUAUUUUAUGGCAGCAAAUCAGGUAGCACAUGUCAAUUGUGGGAACUGCCGGAUGCUGUUGAUGUACCAAUAUGGGGCGCGAUCUGUAAAAUGCGCCGUCUGCAAUUUUGUGACAUCAAUUGGGGUCAGUAUAUAUUUUGUUUAACCAGCUUUUACAAGUUUAAAUCAUAAUCAUGGUAGGUAGAUAAAUUUCAGGAGGAGCUAAAAAGAAAAACUUGAUCAAAUUGUAAAGCUAUCUGCAGCAUAAUGCAGAUUGCAGUGUAUCCAAGUCCCAGACACUGUGAGACAAGAGAUGCCUACUAAUUGUGCAGCUGGACACUGCAGAUGCACAAUAGUUGGAUCAAAUGAACUAGGAGCAAAAGAUUAAGUUGGUUGAAUAUCAGAAGAUGUUCUAGCAAACUCUUGCUGUUAACAGUUGCAAAAAAUUUUACUUUCCUGAUUAUCCUCCACACAAAUUAUUCAGUUAACCAUAAGCCAUUCACAUUCUUGAUCCCAAGAAUGUCAUAUGGUUCAAUAAAUGAUAAUCAUCAGUCAUCCGCUGAUUAUCAUGAUUGCAAUUAUUGAUCUCUCACUUAUAAGGCAUAAGGGAACUUCCCAGAAAGUAACAUUUGACAUUCUGGCGGAAACACCUUAGUAAGCUCCUCCUCUUCCCAACCUUCUUCACAUGUGCCAAACAUCCACUCUCUGAAAACAGCAAUUUUGCCCUUUCUUUUUCCCCUCUUGAGUUCCUUGGAUCUCUGACCAGCUUGCAUUCUGGAAUGGCCCGUACACUUUGUUAAGUACUAUGACUAGAUUAAAACUUAGUUAAGCACUUUGAGGAUAUAUGUUGGUGGAGGAGAGUAAUAACUUUCAGCAUUGUCACAUGUAGAUAAUGGAACCCUAUGCUAAUCUUAAUACAAAAUAAUCAUGUCCACUGUUUCAACUACAUGUAACAAAUUUCCAUUGAACGACAGGCAUCAGCGAGCACUAUUGAGCAGAAGUUCAACAGCUGAACUCUGAAGUUUUCUGUUUCAAUACCACAAUAUAUUGCCAUUUUGAAGAGCUGCCAGAAACUGCAAAAUUCCUGGAAGCAGAGAAAGUAUAUUUCUGCUGCAUUGUAUAGAGUUCUUUUUCCAUCGCGUGAUUUUGAUAUGAAUAAGCAAAUUUUCCUGCGUAAAUGCACAAGAUUAUUAUCUAUGAAUUUUAGGUUGCUAGCGUUGUUUCAAAUUAUUGGAUAAGAAAAACAUCAUUUUCUUCUAGUGCUUCUUCUAAUUGCAUCAAGCACACGACAUCAGGCUGUAUAUUUCACUUUAUCCAUCUUUUUGAAUUGUCAGUGGGAUGCUGAAAUUAAAUGCUUACACCAACAUAUCAAUCUCCAAAAAUUGAGUUUUUCCAAUUGGAUAAUCCUGAAGAUAGGAAUCGGGUCAAAUGUUCCUGGUGAAAAAAGUUGGAUGCCUGAAAUUAUCCACAUGGGAUGUCUCAUCAAAAAUUAGACCUGGUCUCCUAGCAGGUGAUUGUAAUACCAGUUCAAAACCAAUGGGUCCAAUGGCCAGGGAGAAUCUCUUUAAAGCUCUCUUGUGCACUAGAUCGAAGGCUCAAAUCCCGCCUAAUGCAUCUCAAAGAAGCACAGUCCAUUCUUAAAAUAAUCUAAAAAAUGUAGUAGAUCCUCUAAUCCCUAUACAAGUCUCUUUAAAUUUCCACUUCCUAUAGCCUAGAUUAGUAUAGGAAUAUGAUAGAUGUUACUGUUUGCGGGGAAAAAAAUACCACUUCAAAUGUUACUUUUCCAUACUUUACUGUUCUAAUGUGGUAUUUUACUGUGGUAAAAAUUAAUUGUUCAUCGUAUAGAAAAUCUCCCACGUAAAAGUAUAGAAAGAGCAAAAGACACGGGGGCUCAGAGAGAAAACAAGAGUCGUUGUUUUUCUCCUUUUCAAAGUAAGAGUCAUGACCCUCCUCGAAUUGUUUCUUUCGAAAAUGCCAAUCAAGCGAGAAAACUAGCCGUCUCCGUUUUCUUCUCCUAGUGCAAGAGACAAAUCAAAUCGUCAAAACAAAUAUGGAGCUCCUAAGUAAAAGGGGGGGGGGGGGGGGUUAAUUCCAAUUUGUCCUCCCAAACUUUGGACGAUUACUCACUUCAGUCUCUAAACUUUAAAAUGGGACACCUAAGUCCCUAAACUUAUAAAUAUCUCCCACUUAAGUCCCUAAACUUAUAAAAUGGGACACUUAAAUCCCUAAACCCUUAUAAAAUGGGACACUUCGAUCACCAAGCAUUCAGGAUUUGUUAACAAUUUUCCUUAAGUGAGAGGUAUUUAUAAGUUUAGGACUUAUGUGUCCCAUUUUGAAGUUUAGGGAUUGAAGUAGGUAAUCGUCCAAAGUUUGGGGGGACAAAAUGGUAUUAACCCGUAAAAGGGUACUCCCCUUUCUUUUUGUUUUACGUCUCUCCUUUCCUAAUUACUACUAAAAACUAAGGAAGUUCCCAUAGAGGACAAAAGACUAGGUCGUUUCCUAAUAUCAAUUGGGAACAUGUUUCUUAGGUCUUCAGCUUAAAUUGGGAAAUCGCCACGCGGAUAAAUCUCGACUCUUCCAGACUUGGAGGCUAACUUAGGCGCGACCCCCGGAACGUCUAAGAAUCUUCAUUAAUCCACUUUUACCCCUUUUCUUGCUAUAUGCUUGAAAUUAGCAGCGGUUGUCAAAUAUAAGUAAAAUCCAUCCAAUAAUGCAAUAUUUGGCCAAAAUCAAGGAAAUAUAUUUACAAAUUCAAUAACAAUUAUACACCUUAUCAAUUUCUCUCACACUUAGCCCAUGUUUGCCCUCAAUCAUAAGAACAACAAAUCAAACAAUCGAGUUCAAACAAUAGUUAUCAUUCAAAUUAUCUAUAGUUGGAGUACAAUUAAAACACGUGUCAAGUAUUAGUAGCUAGCCUCCAAGAAAUAUCUCUUCAAUUAACUUUUAAAAUCAAAAACUUUUUCAAUUCUUGGCUAACUAAUUUAAAAAUAUAAAAUAUUUACCCAACAAUCAAUCGGCAAAUGAUUCGACUAUUAAGCAAAAAUUUCAACAUUAAAAUUUAUGAAUCAGCGGGCUAAUGUAACCAUCCACAUAUUUCCACUUUCAUACACAUUUUCACUUUCACUAUUAGCAUAACAUUUUUCUAAGAUGCCCCCUACACUUGAUUUUUCUUUGUUUUCAAUUUUUCAAGAGAAAUGCUUAGUUCUUAGCCAUUCAAACCGUUUGAUGCGAGCUCCGACAUCUACCAAAUGAAGGAAUUUGAUUACUCAUCUUUCAUUGCUUAAACACUAAAUACUCAUAACUAUCGCCACUUUUUGACACGAAAGUCAACACUUAUGGUGAAAACUCCUGGUUACUAGGUAAAAAAUACUAGUGAAGUAUAACCAAAUACUAUUCAAAAAUAAGUAAAAAAAUAAAAUUAAGCAUCACAAGUCUACUUCAUUUCUCAAACAUGGAGAAUUAAGAUUAGUAGUUGAACUAAUUUAUACGAAAAAUGUCAUACAAAUAUUUACAAUGCUUAGAGAAGUUAACCAAAAAGUACAAAAGUCACAAAAUUUUUAAUAUUCACCAAAGAGACAUUCUCAGAUUUCACUACGUCAUACUUGACACAUUAAAACAUAACACCUUAUAAUACCUUAGCAACGGUAAAAAUUUAAAAUGCCUAGCCAUUGAUGAUUACAAUUAGCCACAAAAAUGUACAAAAAUGAAAUGAAAUUCAAAAACUUUUAACAGAAAUUCCAAUAAAAAUGACUAAAAUGAAUAGUAUCAUGAUACUAUACCUCCCAUAUUUAAAUCUUACAUUGUCCCCAAUAUAAGCAAUAAAGAACAAAAGAAUCGAAAGGGAAUAACGAAACUUCCCUAAUCAACAAGGGGGCAUAACAACUAUGGGUAAGGGGCAAAAGAAGGAGUACAACGAACGGAAUGGUUACAGCGCUGACCACAAUUGACAAAGACAAGUGGCGGCGAUAACAUUCAAACUCGGCGACACUUUCCAAAUAGCGACAACAAGGAAUUCGUCGUUUGGAAUACAAGGUGGAGAAAAAAUUGAAAAGAAAGAAAGAGAUAAAUGAAAAAGAAAGAAAAGAAAAGAAGAAGAAUAAUUAGGGUUUUUGGGAAUUUUUUUUUGCCCUCUUGGCGUAACAAGACGCGGGCACAUCUUGUUGCGUUGUAGUAUUCUGAUCAUGGUUUUGAAAUUUUCACGAGAUUUAGUAUGUCCUUAAGACGUCGCCACAUGUUAUGUCUAGUUGUCUUCUGAAAUUGAAAUAUGAGUUUGUCAGUCAGUUAUGCGUAGGCACGCCUUGUCAGGUAGCAGUCUUCUAUUUACUAAAACAACAAAACAAAAAUCAAACACAUAAAAUAUAAGAAAUCUAAGAAAAAUAAUAAAAAAGUGAACUAAAAAGUGAAUUGAGUUGCCUCCCAAUAAACAUCUUUGAUUAGAUAUAAAACAUUAUUUCUCAAUCCGGUUGUAAUUUAAACUUUCUUGUAAUUGGUGAAAUUUCUUUAGAAUUCAAAUCACCAUUAUGUGCAAUCACCUUUUUUAACUUUUUAUCUAUUUUCACAUCAUAAGUUAUUUUCAACCCAUGACACUUGUCACAAUAACUUUUAACUUAUCCAUGCAAUUAUAUUCAGAAAAUUCUUGCAUAGAACGAUUAAUAGCAUAAAUGGCAAAUAUAGAAUGAAAGUUAAUAUGAUGUUUUAUAUUAUUAAAAAUAUUAAAAUGAACUAUUUCUCCAUCAAAUUCUAUCGUAAGAGUACUCUUACUAAUAUCAAUAUUAGUUUGGAUAGUAUUCGAGAAGAGUCUCCCUAAUAUAAUGAGUGAUGAAUUUGGAGAGCUUUUAAUAUCCAUGUAAAGCACAUAAAAAUUAGUAAAAAACUAAUCCAUCUACUUGAACUAAAAUAUCCUAAAUUAUCCUAUUCGAAUAAGCAAAUGUACGAUCAGCCAAUUAAAUUAUUACCCUUGUUACUUUCAAGGAUCCUAGAUUUAGGUAUCACAUUUAUAGAAACUCUUAAAUCUAGUAUGAUAUUUCUAAUUUUAGAAUUUUCUAUCUUACAUAAGAUAGUAAACAUACUUGAAUCCCCGUAUUUAGGCAGUAGUUUUCUUUAUAAAAUCAUUGAGACAUUCUCAUCUACUAUGAUUUCUCAGCCCCUCUCAAUUUUUUCUUGUUGAUGCACAAGUUCUUUAAAAAUUUAGCAUAUUUUGGGUAUUUGCUUGAUCGUAUCUAAUAAACAGAUAUUGAUUGUCACUUUUCGAAACACCUCUAAGAUCUCUUUUUCUUUAUCUUGCCUUUUUGGCUACUCCAACUUAUUUGAAUUAGUGAUGAUUAGUAUUAACUUUAAUUAAAUGAUCAGAAACUAUCUCAGGAGUUGUCUUGUUUAAUCCUUCUACUUCCAACUCCUUUUCAAUUUGAUCUUCGCUCUUAUCCUUCGGAACUGUAGGUUUUGGUCCUUCAAUUUCUUUCCUUUUUUUGAGGGUCAUGGCACUAACAUUCCUUAAAUUUACUUCAGGUUGAGAAGAAAAUCUUCCUUUCUCUUGAAACUCCAAACGAUUUAUUGCAGAUUUCAUCUGACUCAUCUGAUUUUGUAGAUUUUGUAUGCUUCGUCUUCUAUUAGAAUUGCAAGGUAUUCUACUGAAGUUACAUGGUGUUAAAAGCCAAUGCCUUGACCAUAUUCUUAAGAGAUGUUUCUGAAUUAGACGGAGAGAAUUGAGAUCUUGAUGGAUACUGUAGUUGAAACCUUUGCUGUCUAUCGGGAAAGAAAUCUUGCUGUUUAUUUUCCCCAUAAUGAAAUUUGGAUGGUACAUUCAAUACAAAUUAUACGUGUUAGAAUAAGGGUCGUACUGCCUACAGGCGUGAGCACGUUUUCAACUAUGUUCACUUGUUUUAGCAUUAUCAUCUUGUAGCAUCGGGCAUCCAUCAGUGGAAUGACUAAUAUCCUUGCAAAUUCUGCAUGUCUUGACUUACUGCAUGUUCCCCACUGCCAUCUGUCGAAUCAUAGAUUUUAAUUCAAACAAUUGCUAUUGAAUUAAUAAAACACUUAUCUCAUUCACUCGACGAGCAUGUACUUCAUCCCACAUGUCAAAUUGUUAAAAAUUUUCAAUCAUCUCUUCAAUCAAAUCUUAGGCUUCUUGAGGAGUUUUGUUCACCAAAGCACCUCCAUUUGUAUCAUCAAUGAUGUUUCUGUUUCUAUAGAGUAAGCCUUCAUAGAAGUACUGGACGAGCAACUGAUCACUAAUUUGGUGUUGCAGGCAACUAGAGUAUAGUUUCUUGAACCUCUCCAAGUAUUCGUAGAGGGAUUCUCCUAGUUGCUGAUUUAUACCACAAAUCUCCUUCCGUAGACUAGCAGUUCGAGAUGCAGAAAAAUUUUUCUAAAAUUUUCUCUUCAUGUUCGUCCAUAUGGUGAUCCUCUCCGCAGACAAGUAGUAUAACCAAUCUUUAGCAGCUCCUAUCAAAGAAAAAGGGGAGGCUCACAUCUUUAUCAGCUCUUCUAUAACAUUAGGUGAUUUUAUGCUCAAACAGACAACGGUGAACUCUCAGAGAUGUUUGUGGGGCUAUUUACCUGACAAAUCAUGAAAAUUAGGUAAGAGGUGAAUUAAUCCUGAUUUUAAUUCAAAUGUUACAUUUUCAACAAAAUUAGAAAAAGUAAUGUAUAAAAGCUGCUGAUUUAAAUUAGGAGCAGUCAACUCUCUUAAAGUUUUAUUAUUAUUAUUUGCCAUCAAAACUUCUUUCUACUCAGAAUCACGGAAAGAAUUCAAUAAACUAUCAAGUUAAGUCCUGGAGAUGUAGUAGAUGACUGCUCUUCCUUUCAUAUUCUAGUUUCUUUAUUAGUUUACAUGCAGUCUUCUCAACCUUGAGAUGAAAAUCAAAUCACCUAUAUGAAAAGAACGAGAUAUAAACUAGAAAAAUAUUAGAAAUAAAAUAAAAUAAAUUCAAAAAGAAACAAAUAAACAAUGUCAAUCCCUAACAAUGGCGCCAAAAAAUUGACAGAUAUCGAACCUGUGCAAUAAUAAAUUCCUACUCAUAAAAAUAUAUAAACGAAUAUAAUGACAAAUAGUGUCGUCUCCACAGGGAUUAGAAAAAAAUUAGUUUUCUUCCAAGUAAAAGCCAACUGGGAGAUUUUGAAAAAUUAAAAUUAAAAUAUAAAAUACUCAAAUAAAUAAAAAUAAUUAAAUAGAAGAAAAUUAAAUUUAAAUCAAGAAUAAAUAAGUUCUAACCAAAGAUAUAAUUUUGAAAAUGGUUCAUAUAAUGCUCAUUGAUGCAAUAAUUAUUUAUCUAUUUGUUAAUAAAUAGGUUAUAAAUGCCAAACACGCGAUAACAAUCUACCUUUAUUGUUUCUGUUUCAUAAUUAAGGUACGCCUGUUAACUAUUUUUCGAAUUAAAAAACAAUUCUAGGUACGCUCAUAGAAUUUAAUUUCUUGAUUGCAUUAGAAACUAGAAAAUUUUGUUCUAAUUAAUAAAUGCACUACCAGAGUUUAUUUAAAUUAGAUCAUAUGUUCCCUAACAUGAAAACCAAUCAUGGUAGUCGUCACUAAUUUAAGACAAUUAAAUAAUUACGGAUUUAACUAUCUUAAUUGACAAUAGUUUGUUUAAGUUGAAUUAAAUAUCGGACGUCCUUGAUAUUCAAACAACAAAAUAAUCAUGAAAAUCAAAUCAAAAACUUAUGAAUACUAACGAAUAAAAAAAAAAACAAUUAGAUCUCACAAUUAUAAAUAAAUCAAAUCCUUCGUCAUCUCUUGACUAGAAAAGAAAAUUAAUUGUUCAUCGCGUGAAAAAUCUCCAACGCAAAAGUAUAAAAGAGCAAAAGACCUGCGGUUUAGAGACAGAACAAGAGUCAUCAUUUUUAUGCUUUUCUAAGUAAUAGUCACGACCCUCCUCGAAUUAUUUUUUUCAAAAGUACUAAUCAAGCGAGAAAACCAGCAGCCUCCGUUUUCUUCUCCUAGUGCCGAGACUAGUCAAAUCUUCAAACAAAAACAAAACUCCUAAGUAAAAGGGCACUCUUCUUUCUUUUUGAUUUUCGUCUUUGCUUUCCUAAUUACUACUAAAAACUAAAGAAGUUCCCAUAGAACAAAAAACUACGUCGUUUCCUAAUAUCAAUUGGGACAUGCUUCUUACGUCUUCAACUUGAAUUGGGAACUGCCACGCACAUAAAUCUCGACUCCUUCGGAUUUGGGGCUAACUUAGGCGUGCCCCACGGAAUGGCUAAGAAUCUUCAUUAAUCCAUUUUUAGUUUUUACUCCUUUUUCUUGCAAUAUUCCGGAAAUUACCACGCGUUGUCAAAUAUAAGUAGAAUCCAUCCAACAAUACAAUAUUUGACCAAAAUCAAGGAAAGAUAUUUAUAAAUUUAAUAGCAAUUACACACUGUCACAUCUUCCAUUCUCAAUCUCUUGAUAUCCCUCAUGGAUACUACUUUGACCACAAGAGGGUUGCUACAAUUCUAAGGCCCUGUUUGAUAAUCCAAUGUAGCACUUAAAUUUAAUGGAUUCAAAUAUUAAUAUAUUCAAAUCGUUUGAUAAUAAAAAAUUGAACAUAUGAAUUAAUUAAGUGACACUGAAUUUUCUAGGCAAAACUUGGUUUCAAAAUUAAGUGAUAAACUAUUCACUUAUCGCUGAAUAUAAUAUACACUCAAAUGUAUUAUAUUUAAUACGUCAUAAUUCAAUAAUUUAAUAAUUUUAGAUUUUAGAUUUCAAAUUUCAGACUUCAGUUUUAUUAUCAAACGCACCCUAAGUAUGACCAAACGAAAAUUGACCUAAUUAUUGUAAGAAAAUUGACCUCUUGACAAGAAGGAGGCAUGCAAGUAAUUUCAAUAUGAUUGCGAAAGAAGUAAAGGGGUGAACGAGAAACCAGACAAGCAAAGAUCAUCCAAUGCCCGACAAAAUGUCUCAGCUGACCUUUUACCAAAGCCAGAUUCAUUUUGAGGAAAAUUUCAAAUAUGGACCACCACCACAAGUCCUAGUACAGGGGUUACCUUUAAUAAGAUAUUGUCAAUUUAAAAAAGAGCUAUAAAUGCAACAUAUUUAUCUUUCCAACUGUGAAUAAAUAACAUUACCCCCUCACAUCUUCGACAAACCAUGUGAACACUUGGCUGACUUUGAACAGCUAUCCAAUGGUAUUAGAAUUCAGUGUCAAGAACUAGGACUACUGCCACUUUUGUCAUGAGACCCUCCAGUCCCCAAUGGGGGCCUAAUGAUAUUUUUGUCCUUGUCGUUCCUUGGAGUCGACUCAUUAAAUGUUUUCUUUCUUUUAUUUUGGCCUGUAUGUUGGUAGCCUGACAGGGCCUGCUGGUUUUAGUGAGCACUGCCCUUGCACAAGCUCCUCUUUUUAUCGUGCAAGGUCUAACAAUUCUUUUUUCUAGAAAAGAAAAAGAAAGAGAAAGCUUAUCUGAUCCCCGAGAAAAAGGCAGAUCUGCUUUGUCAAUUCUCAUAAGAUCAGAAGGAUUAAGAUUCUUAGGAAUGUCAUUCCUCAUUAGAAGGACUUUUUAAGGCACAAACCAGAUCAAGAAAGCUUUCAACUGCAGUUUAUGAUACCGUUUAAACAUUUUUUUUUAUCACAACCACUCGUUCCCCGAAACAUUUCAGCAAUAUUUCUUUGAAUUAUGCUGGAAUCUUCGUUUCUCUGCAGUAAACAGCAUAUCGAUAUAAUAUCAACAGUAAUUCUCUAGUGCUAUAGAAUGCGCAUCAAUCUUCUACAAUUAACUCACAAGGAGGUCCACUGGUGGAAGGUGAAAUGCAGUUGACAUGCGACAACCGGCAUAGAAUCAUAGACUACACAAAGGACUGCAUCAUCAGCAAGAAAACUUCAAGUUUCUCAUUGGAUCAGGAUGCACGAGGGUUAACGUUCAUAUCCAAAACAACAGGCCGGGAAGAAGAAACUUAUAUCAUGGCCAACUAACUUAAUUAUGUUACAUCAAAAUUGGGACGAGAGAUUAGUACAUCCACACAUUCCAUCAAACCUUGCUUUGAAAGGGACGGAAGACAGCUUAUUCAUCUCCCAUGGCUAGCUCCAAGGCAUAGUCAUCCCUUUCCUGCAGCAAGAAAAGCAAGGUGGUUAGUCCUCAACUUUAAUGUUCUUUUUCUUUGUUCCCAACAAAUGACAUCUCUUUGCAAUUGAUCUACAGGAUGCAUAAGAGAACUUACGACAGGUCCUCGGGCAAAAUAUCUUCCGAAUUGAAGCCAGUACACCUACACAGAAUAGCAUUAUUAGUUCCACAUUAGGAAUUAGAUGAGCUAAAGAGCAUUUGACAAAUUUGUUGAGCAAGAACUUCAGCCACAAAUGAGACUGGGUUCUGAUAUAACAACCCCCCACACCAUUUUUCUUUUCCUGAUUGUUUUUUUUUUUCUGAAUCAAAACUCCACUUGAUCUAUUUAUCUUUGUCAAACUUGCUAAGAGAGAAUAACCACACUGAGCAUAAAUACCACUACAUGAAAACAUUCUUUUUAAAAAAAUCUAAUUUGACUGCGGAAAAUUGGGGCCAAUUCUUGUGUCAGUGGAUAGCAGAAUGCUGGUUAUGCUUUUCAAGAAGAACAUAACUUCGUACCAACUAAAAAAAAACUGUUUGUGCACAAUGUCAAUCACUUACAGACAACAAAUCCAGUUAAGAGGGCGCAACACAGAGAGAGAGAGAGAUAGAGAGAUUCCAGAAUGAAGUUUGACUCCCAAAAGCUAAAAUUCAAGUCAAAAUGAUCCUAGGAGAGUUUGACACUGAACACCAAGCAACAAAUUACUCCUAAAGAAACAAUUCUCCCUCAACAUUUGAAGCCUUCCUGCAUCAGUAAUUAAUGCUCUUAAGCUUUUCAGAAACAAUUCUUUGAUUUAUGCACUACCUUAAAGAAUCAUAGAUAGAUUCAAUGACCUAGUAAUCUACAUUACCUCAUCCUCAUCUUGUGUUUCAACUUCAAGGUCAGAUGAUGGAAACCCACACAAAGAAGUGCAUAACCCUGCACACAAAGAAUUUAACAUCAAUGCAAGAAUUGGUGAAAUCAUUAUCUAUAGUUCUAUGAAUGUGUGAUAGCGCUUUGACGUCAAAUAAGGACUGACUUGGUUUGAAGCAAAAAGAGAUGAAGCACUAAUUAGUUUGAAAAAAUACAUAUCUUUGGAAACCUUUGAAGCGAAUGAAGCACUAAUUUACAAUCUGGACAGAAGGAAUAUCUUGUAAGGAUCAAAUUACCUUAGAUUUCAGUUCCGCUGAUAUCCCGAGGGCCUCUGGUUGUCUAAGUUGCCCAGAUUUUACGCGAACAGCACAGCUAGUACAACAACCUGCCAGACAAUGAGUUUUUACAAUUAUAUGAAAUGAAAAAGAGAUGCCUUAAUGUGUCUCAAAGUUCUACAAUUUAUUGGGUUUAAUUCAUGGAUUAAUCUUCUAUACAUUGACAGUGUAUACACUUUCACCAUUGGAUGCACAUGACACAUAAUCUGAAUUUGAAUUUCAAAUCUAAAUUUUGCAUACACAUCAUGCAUCCAACCAUGAUAGUGUAUACACUGUCAAUAUAUAUAAGAUUGUCUCUUAAUUCAUGCCAAAACACACCAAAACAAUAAUAUAAAAAUCAGACAUGCAGGCACAAAAUCGCAUACAAAAUCAAAAAGCAAACCCCACAUAUGCAAAGAGUCUAAUACCAAAUCAAGAUAGGGACAACAGAAGCCCCACAUAGUUUAGUUAUAUUUGUGGAACUGGGGGACUGAUCAGCCAGAAUUCACACGUAUAGGAUAUAGCCAUCAUAUUGGCCUUCAAUUUUCAUUUCUAUGCAUCAUCUCAUUCCCCGGAACCACAUAGUAACAACACAAAGUAAAUCUUUUCAACGCCAGACAAGAGGAACUAAUUCCAACCUUUUCAGCAUAAAAUUUCAAAUAUGUUAAAUCAUAAUUUAUGCGAGUGAAACAAACAAUUUUGCACCCCUACCCUGCAAAAGAAAAAAGAAAAUCAUACAGAUAAUGAGUGCAGUGUAGGUGGACACAAAAAAUGGAGAAUGAAGAGAAUGAUCAGCCAGAAUUCACAAUAAAAUGCCAUCAUAUCGGCUAUCAAACCGAUAAAAAAAUGAUAACCAUCAUCUCAUUCUCUUAACUCCAUCCACAAUAUUAAUGUAUCUUACAUAAGCUCAAUUAAGCUCGAUUGAGCCCAACUUGAGUUGAAAAAAGAAUCAAACUCAAGUUCAAGAAAAGAUUGUAUUCAAGAUCAAGUAACAUCACUCAAAUCAAGAUCACACAAGUCGAGCUAGAUAUUAUCAUAUACUUUAAGCACUGAGCUCGAGCUUAUCUUCAGAUAUUUGUUCAAGCUCAAGCUCAAAUUAAAGCACAUAAAUUUUGUGUCGACCUUGAUUAGGCUUGAAUACACCCCUAAUUAGUUAUUUAAUAAUCAUUAACUAAAAGUAUUAGUAAUCAAAAAAUAAAUAUAUACCGUGCCUGCAAGCAAAUGGAAGACUUAUAUUCUGCGAUUCAGCCGUAUGCAAUAUAUACUGCGUCCUGCUCAAAAUCCAUAGUACUACUAUAAAUAAGUAAAUUGAACAAAUAACUCAUAUAACUAAACUCAAAAGGGGAGAAAAAAAAAAGAGAAAGAGAACAAACACGCUAGAAUGCGUGAGAUAAUGUACCUCGGGGACGAAGAAUUCGUGAACGAUAUCACGUUGGCGGUCAUGAACGGUGACCUUGUGGGACGGGACUGACAGGGAGCAACUGCUGCUACCGUUUUGGCCGGUGACCGAAGCAGGUGGCGUGCGGAGCUCCGACGUCGUUUUGCUGCUGCAUCGGUGUUUGGGGUAAUUUAGGUGAGGUGCGGUGUGAAGUCGGUGGCGGUGGAUAGGCGGUAGCCGGGGAAAGAGAGAAGAAGAGAUGGCGACAUGUUUUGUUAUCUGCCUCUUUUCCUGUCCACUCGAAUUAACGGAAAAACGGGACGUUAUAACUCGGUUACGUCGACUGACUUACAGUAACGCUUGGGAGAAUAUUUAUGUUGGAGAACUACCAAAGGGAAAAAAUUAAAAUUGAGUCCUCAUUACAUCAAUUAAAGAUAUAUAUAUAUAUUUUUUAGAUGUUUCGCAGGGAGUGGACCCUGCAGAUUAUUCCCUACCCUCCACAACUUGCUGGCAAUAAAGUUCGAAUCAGGGACUUAAGGCUCCAUCUUCAACAAGAGACUUAAGACUACAUCUUCAACAAUCUCAACCGCCAGACCAAACUCCGGAGGGUAUCAAUUAAAGAUAUUAUCCUAUAUAGAGGCAAAAAAAUGUAUAUAACUCUUUGGGGGCUUUUUAACCUUUUCUAAGUGCACUUUUCUUUCAAACAAAACAAGCAAAAACUUUUCUAAGUGCACUUAAUCAAAUUUUAAUAAUAUAAAAAUAAGGUAAAGAAAAGAUAUGGGAAUCGUUACAACUUACCACCCAAAUCCUAGACACUUGUUUUGAACAAGAAAGAACAAUUAGCUCAUGACAGCCUAUUUACCUUAAAAUUGGUUACAAUAAUUAGAUAAUAGAUUAUUGUUUGCAAAAAUUUAUGUACCUUGGUCUAUAGCCCGAUAAGCAGAUGUAUACCGAUUAAGUUGCACUUAAUACUAAUCAUGUGGUGAUACAAAUAAUAGUAGUGUCAUUUUGAUUUUCUUACAUUAUCAUACAUCACCUACUUUUGCUUGUCUUACAGCAACAUAUAUCAUCAUACAUAACUUUAGAUCACUUUUCUUACAUCAUUAUAUAUCACCUACUAUCAUCACUUUUCUUACAUCAUGGUAUAUCCAUCUAGCAGCCACCAUCACUUUUCUCAAAGUAUAUCAUCCUACCAUGAUCUAAGCAAUACCAUAAUAUUUCUUGGUAGUCACAAUUUCAAGUUAAUCUAAGUAAAAAUGCAUGGCCCCUUUGGGUUGUUAUUUGUUAGGAGUUUUUUUGUAGCAAAAUAUAUUGCAAUAAUUUGAUGUAUGUGAGAUAGAAAAGGUGAUUGGAAAAUGUGUUCACGAAAAAUGUAAAAUUUUUUUUGGUAAAAAUCACAAUUUAAAUUAUGUUCUUGUUCCUGUAUGAGAUGAAAAAUACCUUUUACAUCAAUAGAUGAUAAAUGGACUAAUAUUUUUGGUUAAAACGGAACCUAUAUCUAUAUGUAUUGCAGAAGAGGUUUUUAUUAGAGACUCUCUCAGUUACACAUGUUUGAUAGGCCAACGACCCAGAAAAGCUCCAGCUGCAUGGAAGACACGAUGCAGCAAACGUGUCAUCCCAUGGUAGUCCAACCGCCAUUAAAGCCAUGCAAACGGUCACCCCUUCUAUAGGAUGAAGCAUCUAUAACAACAUUACUCGUUCACUUAUCCAAGAAAGAAUACACAGACACAUAGUGACGGCGAAAGAGGGAAAGAAAAAAUGCAUUCAGUCAAAGAGAAGGUUAGCAAUGCAGCAGCUGCAGCCCAAGAGAAGGUUGAGAUCAUGAUAGCCAAAGGUGAAGAGAAGGUGCUUAGGUUUUCUUAUGUUCUUAAUAUCCCAGCAUUUAUUUUAUAAAAUCAAAGACUGGACAGUAUCACUUUUGUAAUGUUUUAGGAAUCAAGUGGUAACAUAUCAAAAUUCUGGUUGGAUUUUUCAGGCGGAGAAAGCUGCAGCAAGGACAGAGGCAGAAAAGGUGAUAGCCAAGGAGGGAAGGAAAGUUAAGGAAGCUGAAGCAAAGAUGAAGCUGCACGAAACCAAAGCAGAGAACGCAGCAGAAAAGCUAAAGCAUUCUCGCCCUGUUUAUGGUCACCACGACCCAGUGGUUGGAGGAGGUCAAGGGCAUCAUGCCCCUGUUGGGACUGCAGCCAACCCAACAACUGUGGUUCCAACUGCUGCUUACCCUGCGGGGAGCCAUCCUCCCGGCCACCAUCAUACCAAACACGUCUAGCGUUUCCACAGUCAGUGUAUGUAUGGGUGCUUGUCCAGCUGCUUUCUGCCUGUAAUUGACUGCAAGUUUAUGUUCGUUUAAAUUCCGGAUUGGAGUAGGCAAGUUUCCUUGUACAAUUUAGAAAUCAACAAGCAAGAAGCGCCGGUCUAGUGUACUUCCAGAAUAAUUGGAAUCUGAUGGGGAUUACUCAUUGAUACAGUGUUAUUACACAAUUCUGACAAAUCUCUCUUUCAUAUUCUAGGCAAAACCACAGAAUAAAGCACCGUCUUCAACAUAUAUAAUUUGUGAGAGAGAGUUCAUGAAUGACAGAAUGAUUGUAUACAUUAACAUUCAAAAAGCACCAAUUUCGAGUUCCUCAAGUUAAUUUUACAAUUUGUUAAUAAUAACAAGAAAAAGAACACGAAAGUUCAUGUUCUAGGAGUCCAGUAAACACGCUAGAUGGACUAACCAAUGACCAAUUUGUGAUCUAGUAAAUCCCGGCAGGGGAACCACCUCAAAGAAGAUCAAUUACACCCACUCCAGCCUACCUUGGUAUUCCACACCAAAUUGAAUUGUACCGUUGAGACAUCUUGCUUGGUUGCUCAGCUUCACCGGCCUGGUGCUGUAUUUGGCUUGAAACCUCGGCAAUGACUUGUGAUGCUCUUUAUCUAUUGCAUAUUUCUCUGGGGGAAUCUCAUCAAGGAACUCAUCUGCAACAUCACCAUCUUCAUCCAUCCUAAGACGCUUGGCAUACCAUCUAAAUCCCUGAAACGUUAAAACAAGGAUCGUUUAAUACAGACUUUUGUUUAUCAUGAAAGAAUAGUUAGCUAAACUUCAGAAUUUGCACGAGUGAAGCAGAAUACACAGAGACUAAAUGUCUCGGCUAAGACCAAAACUACUAUGCCCCCAUAGAUCUUCCCUAAGCUGCCCAAUAAGGGCAAAGUUUGCAGGCAGCUGGUCAAAUAACCAUUAUUAAAGCACGAGUUGCCUCAUGAAACUGCUAAGUCGGCCAUCAUAUUUGUUACCACCUCUCAAUACAGCAAACUAUCCCAGAUCCAUUAAACCAACUUUAAAUUUCAAAUGAGAUAUCUUGCAAACUGCCCCACGUCAAUUCAAUGCUACAACAAAAUUAGCAUAGGAUUCAGCUUAUAUUCAUGCCAGCUCAACAUGGACUCUGAUUGAUACGAACUGUAUAGAGGAUUAAUGAGGACUCAAGACAAAGACAGAAUACCAUGAUGCCCAGUUGAAACAUGAUCCAGUAUACAUUUGACAAUGGCUACAAACAAACCUAAUCAGAUUCUUAUCAAGACAAACUGGGCAAAGUGGCAACUUCAUAAUUAAGUUUUUACUUGAGUGUUCAACAACAAAAAGUUCAGAAGUCUACAUAACCAUUAAGGUUUACCCGACCGUUGCCAGAGACUGACAAACAGACAGCAGUGGAAAUCAAAGCAUAGAAUAGAGAACCUGUAAAAGACAAACAUAGGGAUUUAGCAAGCAUCACAGACAAUAUAAAAACCAGACAGCGUUCUCGGACAACAGGAACUGAUUACAUGUUUGCGAUAUGGAUUGCGUUAGCCAUAACAGGACCCAGAAGACCAAAUUAAACAAUGUCACAAGCUUAGCAAGUGCAAAAAGGAUUUUUAACACAUACAGGAAGGGAGAAAUGUCAGGGGCUAAGCAAGCUAUAUGUCAUGAACUCUUGCUGUUUAAUCAUCAAUAAUCCAACCUUUCUCCCGUUGAGGUACUUUGGUCCCAUUUGUUAUUGAGUUUGCCCGUGUAUGCCAAAUUUUGACGGCCACAAUUACCAGAUUAUAAGGUUCUAAAUUAAUUAUACUUAUCACUCAAAUAACUAAAUUUGAAAAGGCUCAUUUUCUCUUACUGUACAAUGAAACAGGAAAUAUGGUCAACUGCACACAAUCACAUCAGAUGCAACCAAAAAAUUUUCCUUAAAAACAUUGGAUUUCACUUAGGAAGCGAGUAGAAGACUGGGGAGGAAAAAAGAAAACAAGCAAAAGCAAAUUUAAAGACAACAUAAAGGAAUUCUUACAAGUUGACGACACUGUUACAAAUUAUGGAAAUACAGAUGAUGAAGAAUUAAGACAGAGAAAGACUUUUCUGAAUUAUAGAAGAAUGAAUUUCCUAGAUGUAGUAAUUGCACAUGAACAACCUAUGUUUCUGGCUGACAUAAGUCGAGUACACCACUCAGUUUGCAUUACACCAGGAUCGUGCAAUAUCAGUGGCAUGCUAAGCUACAAUUAACAUGCUUAAAAAGAAGUGUCUUAGCUUGUUCAUCAGCAUGCCAGCAUCAUAAAAAAUUAUUCCUUCCAUUAAUGACAUAAACAUUUAAAAAAAAAAUGCUUCUUUACACUGAUUUUUUAAAAUUGAGCUCCAGAAAUAUCUAGCGCAGCAUGAAAAAUCAAAACUUUUCUCCCUUGUGAUGAACCAUUUGUUCUUUCUUUACUUCUAACAAUUGGCAUGUACACUCAUAUUGCCAACAGCACGAUGCAUUACCACUUAUCGAUGUACCUAGGCUUACAAUUACAACUAUGCAACCUGACACCAGCUGAGUAACAUCGGAGAGUUCAAGCUUGCCACGGUCCUUAAAUAGGAGAUAAGCUAACAGAAAAUGAUCUAGUUGACAGAAUAUGAGUUCUGCUCAUCGUGAUACACUCCUCCAGAAAUCGUCAAUUUCCAUCAACAUAAGCUAACAGCUACGGAUUCAACUGCUGCCCACUUCCCUAUAGCUCACAAGUCACAACCUUUAUAUUAAACUACUUGCCUCAAUCAGAACAAGAUAUCUGCUUACUAUUCCGCACUUAUCAUUACCCCAAAAUCAAUACGUUGACCAUCCAUUCACUAAAACAUGUAAAUCAAUCACAAUUAUUCCACAAUAAUCGCAUACUUUUAUCUGAGCACUGCUCACUACAACACAGACUAAAAAUCGUUCAAAACCAUGAUCAACAGCAAUAAACUCAUAAUUCGAGUAUUAAAUCCAUGCUAGUUCAACUAAAUUUUGCAACUUUAAACGCUCAGUAUCGCUAAUUUCACAUAUUACAACACAACUCGUCAAUAAUUUCAAUCAAAAUUGGAAUAAAAGUAAAAUUUGGUGAAAGAUUUUAACCUGAACGCCGCCAUUGCCGGAGGAGCAGGGGACGAGAACAGGACCGGAUAGAGGUCUAUCGACGGCGACUUGGACGGGGACACUGAAGCCUUUACGUUGGGGAUGCUGAGCGGCUGCGGAAGUGGAGACGGCGUCGUUCUCAUCCUCUUCUUUCAAUUCUUCUGCUUCAUCUUUGGCGAUCCCUAAAAACCCAGCUAGUCUUCUGAAUAAACCCAUCGGCCCUUGCUUGUGUAUAAUUUUAUCAUGCGGGAAGAUAAGAGUUCCUAUACGAAUGGGUUAGACGGAUGGAGAGAGAAUACGGGUGCGCCGGCGGCGAAGGAGCGAAGUGGAAUUUUGGUGAAAGCAAGAAGGGCAGUUCGGGAAUAUUUUCCUGGGAAUGACGACGAUGUCGAGAGCUACAAGGACGAGGAAAGACUUUAGACAGGGAGAGAAAUAAGAGAGACUCGGCCAAUUGGAUUGCUCGAGUUUGAGCUUUGAAGGCCCAAUAGAAUAAAGUACUCUCUUUUUUUCUUUUUUCUUUUUUUUUUGUUGUGUUUAUUUAUGUCUACAGUCUAUAUGCAUUCGGAAUUGCAUCUCUCAAUUUUUUUUCAAUGUCCAAAUGGACUUGCAAAUCUCCAUUGGGAUUGGAUUUCCUUCUUUUAAUAUAAAAUUUGGUAGAAUUUUGACUUAAUUAUGUGAAAAUACAUGACUCUUGAACAAUUUUACUACUCAUUAAUCAAAGUGUGAGCAUGUUUGUUUGGAUUGAGGCUUAUUUGCCAAAAUUUAUUUGCUUACAUCAUCAUUACAAUUUUCAACACAUCUUUUUAUCUUUCCAAUUAUCUUUUUAUCUCACAUACAUCACAUCACAAAAAGUGCUACAAUAAAAAUAUCUCAAAUAAUUUACAAUCCAAACAGAGCCACGUGCAAACCGCUACCAUAUAUAGAGCCAAUAGACAUAUUUCGCACAAAUGUCAUCACUUGUUUCCUGAAAGUGAGAAUUUUGAUUCUUGUUCACCAUACGCUAUUCAGGAUUUGUUUGGAUUGUAAAUUAUUUGGGAUAUUUUUACUGUAACACUUUUUGUGAUGUGAUGUAUGUGAGAUAAAAGGGUAAUCAAAAAGAUAAAAAGGUGUAUUAAAAAUUGUAAUGAUGAUGUAAGCAAAUAAAAUUGGAGAAAUAAUGCUCAAUCCAAAGAUUUGGUGGAAAAGAUUCUGAUAAGAUUCAGAAGUAGCAUUUGUGCACUUGUAAAAUAUUAUAUUUGAAGAAUCGAUAAAGGGAAAUUAGUGAACAAAGAGUAAUUAAGUUCCUUUUACUUGAGGAAGGAUUGAAUUAGAUGGUCACGUAAAGAAAAUCGUAAUAAGAAGUCAUAAAUUCCUGGUCCGCGCUACGCGAGCAUUCUGCAAACCUGCUCGUGCAGGGAUGAUUUCUAAAAUUGCACAUCCCGACGAGAAAAGGGAAAUUAUCAAGACCUGACACGUACAUUUACAUGCAUUCAUACUUGCAAACAAGAAUUUGACUGAGCACUAUUUUCCAAACAAGCGUAACCUUGACGAGCACCAUCACAAACACACAGCUAGUUCAACGUAGCAUUGGAGGAACAUCCCCGAGAACUUGGGUCAUUUAUCAGAUUCAAUGAACUCAUUUUGAACAAUAAAUUGAUAACACAUGCAGAACUAACAAUCAUUGUGUCAGGAAAAAUGGCAUCUGAUCUAUGUAUAUAAAUGACUUACAAAUUACAUGCUGCUUCAGAGUCAAAACUCUUCCAUCUCUCUCUCUCUCUCUCUUUACGCGAAAAGUAUCUCUCAAAUUAUACACGACACAAACAUGAGACUGAAGCGUGUGGGGAGAACGGAUCCAUCAGUAGCAUCUUAUGCAAAUCUUCCAAUUCUGAAAGCCAUGCUUGUCUGAAUAAUUUUCC